rnacentral:rRNA from 1 species
AAUGAACGUUGGCGGCGUGGAUUAGGCAUGCAAGUCGAGCGAGGAGAGUUUGGUAGCUUGCUAUUGAACUCGGAAAGCGGCGAAAGGGAGAGUAACGCGUAGUUACGUGCCCCAGGGUUCGGAAUAGCCACGGGAAACUGUGGGUAAUGCCGAAUAACAUCUCCGGAUCAAAGGUGUGAUUCCGCCCUGGGAGCGGACUGCGUCCUACGAGCUAGUUGGCGGGGUAAUGGCCCACCAAGGCAACAAUGGGUAGCGGGUGUGAGAGCAUGACCCGUCUCACUGGGACUGAGACACUGCCCAGACACCUACGGGUGGCUGCAGUCGAGAAUCUUCGGCAAUGGGCGAAAGCCUGACCGGGCGACGCCGCGUGCGGGAUGAAGGCCCUCGGGUUGUAAACCGCUGUCGUAGGGGAGGAAGGCUCCAUGAAGAAUGGGGUUUGACCUAUCCUAGGAGGAAGUACGGGCUAAGUUCGUGCCAGCAGCCGCGGUAA